rnacentral:rRNA from 1 species
GAUGAACGCUAGCGGCAGGCUUAAUACAUGCAAGUCGAGGGGCAGCAUGCUUGUAGCAAUACAAUUGAUGGCGACCGGCAAACGGGUGCGGAACACGUACACAACCUCCCAAUAAGUGGGGAAUAGCCCAGAGAAAUUUGGAUUAAUACCCCGUAACAUAACGAUGUGGCAUCACAUUGUUAUUAUAGAUUUUUCGCUUAUUGAUGGGUGUGCGGCUGAUUAGAUAGUUGGCGGGGUAACGGCCCACCAAGUCUACGAUCAGUAGCUGAUGUGAGAGCAUGAUCAGCCACACGGGCACUGAGACACGGGCCCGACUCCUACGGGAGGCAGCAGUAAGGAAUAUUGGACAAUGGACGCAAGUCUGAUCCAGCCAUGCCGCGUGAAGGAUUAAGGUCCUCUGGAUUGUAAACUUCUUUUAUAGGGGACGAAAAAAGGCUUUUCUAAGUCGUCUGACGGUACCUUAUGAAUAAGCACCGGCUAACUCCGUGCCAGCAGCCGCCGUAACAC